rnacentral:rRNA from 1 species
CGGUGGAGCAUGUGGUUUAAUUCGAAGCAACGCGCAGAACCUUACCAGCGUUUGACAUCCCGCGCUACUUCCAGAGAUGGAAGGUUCCCUUCGGGGACGCGGUGACAGGUGCUGCAUGGCUGUCGUCAGCUCGUGUCGUGAGAUGUUGGGUUAAGUCCCGCAACGAGCGCAACCCUCGUCCUUAGUUGCCAUCAUUUAGUAGGGCACUCUAAGGAAACCGCCGGUGAUAAGCCGGAGGAAGGUGGGGAUGACGUCAAGUCCUCAUGGCCCUUACACGCUGGGCUACACACGUGCUACAAUGGCGGUGACAGUGGGCAGCAAGCACGCGAGUGUGAGCUAAUCUCCAAAAGCCGUCUCAGUUCGGAUUGUUCUCUGCAACUCGAGAGCAUGAAGGCGGAAUCGCUAGUAAUCGCGGAUCAGCACGCCGCGGUGAAUACGUUCCCAGGCCUUGUACACACCGCCCGUCACACCAUGGGAGUUGGAUUCACUCGAAGGCGUUGAGCUAACCCGCAAGGGAGGCAGGCGACCACAGUGGGUUUAGCGACUGGGGUGAAGUCGUAACAAGGUAACC